rnacentral:rRNA from 1 species
AGCGAACGCUGGCGGCAGGCUUAACACAUGCAAGUCGAGCGGGUGUAGCAAUACAUCAGCGGCAGACGGGUGAGUAACGCGUGGGAACGUACCUUUUGGUUCGGAACAACCCAGGGAAACUUGGGCUAAUACCGGAUAAGCCCUUACGGGGAAAGAUUUAUCGCCGAAAGAUCGGCCCGCGUCUGAUUAGCUAGUUGGUGAGGUAAUGGCUCACCAAGGCGACGAUCAGUAGCUGGUCUGAGAGGAUGAUCAGCCACAUUGGGACUGAGACACGGCCCAAACUCCUACGGGAGGCAGCAGUGGGGAAUAUUGGACAAUGGGGGCAACCCUGAUCCAGCCAUGCCGCGUGAGUGAUGAAGGCCCUAGGGUUGUAAAGCUCUUUUGUGCGGGAAGAUAAUGACGGUACCGCAAGAAUAAGCCCCGGCUAACUUCGUGCCAGCAGCCGCCGUAA